UCAAGAAGUGUUAGAUUAGUUCAUGUGAAACGUCUUGCGCGGGCUUUAAAUUCUAGUAUGAAAGAGACUGCCAAUCAGAACCAUUUAAGUGAAACUCAAGUGGAAAGGAGUCUGCCACAAGGAGAGAUUUAGUUUUUGAGUAGUGAUGUGCUGAAAUAUGCAGUCAGAAAAAUGUUAAAGGAUAAAGGUUGAGCUACAAAAGAGACUACUUUAAAUCAAACUUAUGGCCAAAGACAUUUACCAUCACGCAUCCUCACAAUAUUGGUUUUGAGAUAUGACAAAGAGAGUCAAACUUGCAUACGAGGGAAGAGUAAUUCGGGGUGAUUAAUUGUUCUGAGGAGGGGUAGAAAUGUUUUAGGUUUACUUGAUAGUGCAAAAAGCUUAAUAAUAAAGCUGAUUUUUUUUUUUUUGUUUAAAUAUUCUUCACCGAAAAGAUUAAUCAAGACCCUUGAUGUUGGGCUAUAGCUGAGCAAAUUUUGGAUGCAUUGUCAAUAUGUGUUUAGUGGCACACAGAAAUGAGAAAUUUUACCCACUUUAUUCUUGGUUUGUUGAUUAUUUCCAUUUUCGUACCUGUUAUGAUUCUUCC